UGGUGGCUUCGUGUGACAUCCCGAGCAGUGCUUAGCGACGCGUGCAACUACUGUCUGGUGUGCUUACACGUGGUCUAUUUUUAUCCUUUGUAAAAGCCUGAAUCUUCAUCUCGUUUUCAGUUUCCCUUGCACAAAACAGUCUCCCAUAUACCAGGCGCCCGAGUGGCGAGAGUGCUCGCAGGAGCUCGAACCCGACCCCCCGCACGGAGAUCUGAAGCAGCAGCAGGACCUCGCCGGACGCAGCAGCUGCACCAUAAGUCCAAACAAUGGCGCCGCCCUCAUGAAACAUGGAAGCAGAGGCUAACCCUUGCGGCGGCGGCGGCGUGUCUUUCCAGUGCUCCCCCUUGCGGCCUUCCCAGACUUGGUGUUUGCUUGGCGAGGCGACUCGAGCAGCAGCUCGAACGCACACAGUGCCUCCCCGUCGGCCCGGUACGCCGCCCGAGCGGGAGGCACCAGCGGACCGGAGAGGCGAGUAGUAGCACGCCCCAGCGGCAGCACUGGGCGGCAGCAGCCUCAUGCCCAGGAUAAGGGCACACGGCAGGUGCGGCGCGGCUGCAAUUCAGGGGCGGUAGCAGUUCUCGGCCGCAUCCAUGGCAGCCGCCGUGGCGUGCUCCUACUCGCGCGGCUGGUCCAUGGCUAUCGGCGCAUCGCAGGACAGGGACGACAGCAGUUCUAGGCCGCAUCCAUGGCCGACGGCGCGCGGUAGGGCGGGAGCGGCAGGGCGGGGGCGGCAGGGCGGCGUGCUCCUACUGGUGCUGCCGAUGCGGGCGAGGGAAGAGAGGAAUCAGGAGAGGUGCUCACGGGCGGCGCAAAUCGUCUCCUCGGUGGCCAAGGGGCUCGCCGGGGCGGCAGGGAAGGCCGGCUGCAGGGCGAGCUGGUAGGGGGCGCCGAGGGGAUCCGUUCCCGUGAGCGGCAUCCCGAGGAAGGCGCUGGAGUUGGCCGGAAUCGGGCGGUCAAUGGAAGGACGGGGGCGCCGCCAUUGAAGCGAGGGGAUCGAAGGUCGAGGAGGCCCUCCGUGUAGGAUCUAGGACCAUCGCGGACGCGGCGGCGGCGCGCCCAAGCUCGGGCGCCCCACUACAGGGCGGAGGGCCGGCGAGGGCCAGGCGGCGGGAGGAACGGCGGGGAGGGCAUGAGUAAGUCCUGCGCCGCCGCGACUGGAGACGGAGCAGGGGUUAAUUUGUAAAACCGAAUCGUUUAUUUAGAUAUCACUUAAAGAGGGAUUGCGGGUAUAAUUUUCAGAAAACGGAAGGAUGUUUUUGCAGAUCUGGGCUCGAACCGUUUUUCUCACUUUAAAAAGGACCGCGGGUUGAUUAUAGAAAAUCACAGGGACUUUUUUACAAAUUGACGACGACGGACGACCAGAAGCACUCCCUGCUUUAUUAGUAGGGAAAGAGGGAAAGACUAGUACAAAUGCCCGUGCGUUGCAACGGGCAUGGAAUCUUGCAAAAUCUACUCAAUGUGUCAAUAGGUACAACUUUUGGAUUGGAAUCAUUGUGACUUAUUAAAGUUAUCACGCUGGUAGGCUCGAAAAUAAAACAUGGGCAACUUUAUUCGCCGAACGUCGCACCCAACAAACCUUGGACUCCAUGAAGUCCUGAAGUUCUUUAUCAUUACGCACCAUUUCUUAUAUUCCGUUCUAAUAAACAUGAUUAUUGUUUCUCGGCUGAAUACUGGUCGUUAAGAAGCCACCUCGACAUUCUUCGGCUAAUUGAAGAAUAAUUUAUGGAAUAGUCUCUAAAUCUUUUUCUUUUCUUUUCGGCAAACAUGAACUUUUUUAAUAAAACAAAAUGGUUUAUAAAAAAAAGCAUUUUUCUGAACAUUUCUAAAUGCAUUUUUUAAAUGUAACAACUCUUGGGAAUUUUGACCAGUUUUUAAAAAGUGUGAAUAUAUACAUAUAACUGUGUGCUUAUUAUAAAACGAUUUUUACUAUGUUGGGUAUUUUUAGAUAUAUACGUUUGUUGUACUUUUCAUUUUUAUUUUAUGUUAAAAUGAUUUGUGAUUACAAAAAGGUUCUAAAAUUGCAAAAAACAUUGUUCGUUUUGACUUCUCAAAAACAGUUCUUUAAUUCAAAAAACGUCCAUGAUUUCAAAAAAUAUGAACAAUUUUUUAUUUUUUGGAAAAAAUUAUAAGCAUUCUUUAAUAAUGAUGAACAUUUUUUAAACUUGAAUAAAAACUUUUAAUUCGGUAAAAAAUGAAUUUGUUGAACAUUUUUCGAAAAUGAUGAACACAAUUUUAAUUUAAUGAAUUUUUUUUAGGUCGGUGAACAAAUUUUGAUGAACGUUUUUAAAUCCGAUGAAAAAAUUGAAUUCGAUUAACCCUUUUUUUACAUCGAUGAACAUUUUUUGAAAUUCGAUGAACAAAAAAAUCUUUGCGAAUUUGAAAAGAAAUUUCACAAAAAAAGUGAAAAAUAAAGAUGAGAAAAGAAGAGAGAAAAA